GCCCCUAUAGCUAAGUGGUAUAGCGUCAGUCUCGUAAACUGAAGGCCGUGAGUUCAAUUCUCACUGGGGGCA
rnacentral:tRNA from 1 species